GGAACUUACUGCUGCUGAUUUAUUAGAUCCACCCCUGGCUUGAUUAUAUGGUGAGACUAUAUGACUCAAAGGCAUUGGUAUCUGUUGGAGACACCUGGAAUAGCCCAAGUGUGAUUUCCUAGGAGUGGAGCAAUAUCAUGGCUGAGACUGCAGAACAUGAGCCAUUAGCUCACCUGUCUUCCCCAUUCCAUGUUUCCCUUCUCUUACUUUCUUCUCCCUCUUCUACCUUUUCUCCCUACAUACACUGAGUAACUCUGCAGUUAUGAAGACUUGGUAGGGUCACUGUAUGGCUAUGACUGACUUUGCG